ACUGGGAUAACUCCGGGAAACCGGGGCUAAUACCGGAUGCUUGAUUGAACCGCAUGGUUCAAUCAUAAAAGGUGGCUUUUAGCUACCACUUGCAGAUGGACCCGCGGCGCAUUAGCUAGUUGGUGAGGUAACGGCUCACCAAGGCGACGAUGCGUAGCCGACCUGAGAGGGUGAUCGGCCACACUGGGACUGAGACACGGCCCAGACUCCUACGGGAGGCAGCAGUAGGGAAUCUUCCGCAAUGGACGAAAGUCUGACGGAGCAACGCCGCGUGAGUGAUGAAGGUUUUCGGAUCGUAAAACUCUGUUGUUAGGGAAGAACAAGUACCGUUCGAAUAGGGCGGCACCUUGACGGUACCUAACCAGAAAGCCACGGCUAACUACGUGCCAGCAGCCGCGGUAAUACGUAGGUGGCAAGCGUUGUCCGGAAUUAUUGGGCGUAAAG
rnacentral:rRNA from 1 species